rnacentral:lncRNA from 1 species
CUUCAGUCUCUGCUUUUGUGUUCAUGAAUUGGAAUGUGUGUUGUUCUCAGCUGAACUUCUAUGCUUCUGUGUUUCACAGCAAUUAACAUCCCUGACAUCCUAUCUCAAGAUAAGAUUUUCAUCUCAGAAGAUUCAUAGGAAGUGAAUUGCAGUCUCAUAAUUAAGUCAGCUUUUUGAUAAUGACCCAUUCUAACAAGGGCUAAAGGAAGCCCAUUUCUUUCCAGUUACUAGCCUCGCUAGUCUUUGCAAUUUACAUAAUAAGUGGAGUGCUAUCAACAACAUCACCUGAGUAUCUCAAGAUUUUGAAGGUUUUUGGAAAGCUAAUUAGCUAGAUAUAAGUAACCCAAGUCAUCUUGGAAGAAUGGGAAGUAGCUGCAGUAUGCAGACUUAAUGUACAGUGUUUUGUUUUUAAUUAGACUUUAUAUGUGAAACAGUCAAGGAUUUAUAAGGAAAAGGUGAGAGGAUCUGGAAAGUCCUGAAAGUUCCUCAUGAGUGUAGCUUGGCAUGGUGUUCAUGUUCUGUGCCAAAGCGUGUGUUAGCAACAGCAUGUCUGCUGUCUCACUAUUCACGUGGUGGUUGUAUCCAUCCUUUGUUCAUUCAAAAAGAACAGAAGUCAUUGACUGCAGAAGAAUAUCAUCUUUCACUGAUGUGAAGACUUACAGAAAUAGUUGCAAACUGGUGCAUAAUUUUGUGAUAGUAAGUCAUGACAGUGUUGUGAAAA